rnacentral:rRNA from 1 species
AAAUGAAUUGACGGGCACCCGCACAAGCGGUGGAGCAUGCUGUUUAAUUCGAAGAUACGCGAAGAACCUUACCUAGACUUGACAUGCCGAUGACCGGUUUAGAAAUAAGCCUUUCCCUUCGGGGACAUUGGACACAGGUGGUGCAUGGUUGUCGUCAGCUCGUGUCGUGAGAUGUUUGGUUAAGUCCAAUAACGAGCGCAACCCCUAUUCUUAGUUGCUAACAUUAAGUUGAGGACUCUAGGGACACUGUCGGUAAUAAAUCGAAGGAAGGUGGGGAUGAUGUCAAAUCAUCAUGCCCCUUACGUCUAGGGCAACAGGCGUGCUACAAUGGCCGAUAUAAAAAGAAGCAAAAUCGUGAGAUAGAGCAAAUCUCAAAAGUCGGUCUCAGUUCGGAUUGGAGUCUGCAACUCGACUCCAUGAAGUCGGAAUCGCUAGUAAUCCCGAAUCAGAAUGUCGGGGUGAAUACGUUCUCGGGUGUUGUACACACCGCCCGU